GGUGCAUGGGAGGGGGGUAUUCAGGGGAGGCGAGUGGGACAUCAGGGCCUUCAGUUGGGGCGCUGCAGGGGCUGCCCCCCUGCCCCCCGGGCUCGGCCGGGUGAUGGUAAACAGGAAAUCUGGAAAGCGAAGCCGUUGCAUUAUUCAUCAGCCGCAGCCUGGCUCUCCUCCGCCGCCAUUGUCAUCUAAUUCCUCCUUUCUCUGCCGGCAGCUGGUGCGGCUGCCAAGCGCCCUCCCGGCCCCAGGCACCGGGACAGCACUGGGAAGGGAACCCAGGGCUCCAGGACGGGAUGGGGUGACCCCCAGGGACAGACAGGACGGGGGAUGCUUGGCAGCGGGUUUCUCCACCGGCCGCGCACCCCGCCGGCUCCGGAGGACCCAGGCGUCCCCGUCACUCUGCGCCCAGCUGCUGUCACAACAAUGUGGGGCUUUGUGGCCUGCGGGGUCCCCGCGCAGGGGCAGGUGGCAGUGGUGCCCCCGGGACGCCCCGGCCCCACACGGCCCCAGCGAGGGGCGGCUGAGCCCUGCGCCGGGGCUCAGGAUGGAGCCGGCGCCACCAGGGCAAGGCAGGAGCUGGGGAUUUGUGGAGGUAUUGAUUUCUAGGAGGCCAGCUGCCUCCACCAGCACAGCCCCACGGGCACUCGUGUGGGUCCCUCUGCAGUAUUCGGUGUAUCUGCUGCCCCAAAGCACCCCAUGGCAGCAGGCAUGUGCCAGCACAGGACCAGCAGCAUCUUCCCUGCACCUGCAGCAGCUCCUCUCCCUGAGAGACAUCCCAAAAAGGGUCUGCUGUCUAAAUCCUCCAGAUCUGCAGGAAAUCUCAGCUGGUGUCCCAGCCCUGGGGGCUGCAGGGGGGCAGGAGGAAGAGGAGGAGGAGGAAGGAGGCUGCAUCCAUCCAACAGCCUGUUGGGGAAGGGGGGGCACGGGUGAAAUCCCAGGCUCGGUCACGCUGCAGAACCAGCACCCAGCCCAGCUCUGACCCACCAAGGGCUUUUCACACGUAGGGGCUGGGGGGAAUUAAGACAAAUCACCUAAAGGUGUGAAUCCCUGCCUGUAAAUGCGCUAAAUCCCAAGCGGAUAUGCUCGUUCGGGAGCAAAGUGGCUUUAACUGGCCGGGCCUUAAUCUGCCUUGGCUUAGUCUCGGCAUGCUCCCACACUGAGGACAGGGCUGUCCCGGGGCCACUGGGCCAGCAGGAUGGGUGACUCGAGUGGCGGCAGCUGAGCAAGCAGGGGUGGCACAGCUGCUCUGGGGCCAGCACGCCCGGUGCCAGGCGAGGGACAGCACCCACGGGACCCUGCGUGCCGCUGGGGCG
rnacentral:lncRNA from 1 species